rnacentral:sRNA from 12 species
AAUUUUAAACAAUCUACUAGAUAACCAAGUGCAGAGAGGGUGAUACCUCGCUUGGAUUGUGUGCAUAAAUCCCGUUACGCUUGUUGUGAGAUAUUGCAGGAAGAUAAGUAACUCUCUUUUCGGGCAAUCGGAAGAGGUCAUGAAGUGAAAGAAGAUUGAGGGUGUACGCAGUAUGGAGAUUGUGCGUAGUUAGACCAUUAUCAGACGGCGGCGGUGACAAUAGACGCUCUCAGUGAGAGAAUAAUCUGGCAAGGCCUUAUGUAGCAGUAAGAACCAAACCAGAAAUGCUAAAAUAAACCGUUUUGCACUUGAGGUCGAGCAAUCGGCCAAUAACACUAAAGAUAAGUACAAGUAGCCCAAAUCGUGCAUAAAAUUACAAGAGAUAUUGUGCUAAAAUAUUAUUCUGAAUAUCGGGUGAAAGUUGGACGUAACCAAUCGUGCCUAGUCGUUAAAUCGCUACGGAAGUUAUAGGGUCGCUCCUUAUGGCUCAGACCGUGGUAGGCUAUCGGUCAAUAAAUUGCGUACAAUCGAAGUAGAGCGAAGGCUCAUUUGAUAGAUUGUUUAAAG